UCGUCCAGAAACAUUUAUUUAUUUUCCAUAAAAUAAAUGUUAGAAUUUUCAAACUAGGAUUGGAAAGCUUUUUUUAUCACCUUUGCAUGUGGAAACGCAGAAUCCUACUCAUCACAUUUAUUUAACUAGGCAAGUUAGUUAAGACUUGUUUUACAAUAACGGCCUUCACCGCCUAACCCGAACAACGCUGGGCAAAUAGUGCGCCGCUCAAUGGUAUUCCCGCUCACGACCGGCUGUGACACACCCCGGGAUCGAACCAGAGUUUGCAUUGACACCCCACUGAGAUGCAGUGCCUUUGACCGCUGCGCCACUCGGGCGAGUAGUUUCGUCACUUUUGUUUUGAGCCGACUUCUCAGGCCAGAGCUGGGCACCUACCUGGCUCACGUUCGUGAGGCAGCACAGUUCUAGAACUAUGCAUUCACUUUUCACCCGAUUAAAAUUUCUCCCAUCGGAGUCAGAUAAACGAACCACCCUGGUCUUGCUGCAUUUACUUGUCCGAUGGACUUCACUGGCCCCCUUAAUCUGGGCUUUUCUGCCAUCGUGUGGUUACGAAUGGGAACUAAAUUGUGCUCUCGGUAUCAAAAUAAUAAACCUAUCAAAAUAAAUUCCAUGAAUAUUGUGGAAAAUAGUGUAAAUAGAUAUACUGCUAAUCAAAUGCUUUAGGACUACUGUACAUUCACAGUGAAUAAAUACAGUGGACUGGCUGGAUUCAAGAACAACUAUACAGAAUUUGAGGCGGCUCAUCAGGUUUAUGACACACGCAUGCGCAUUGAGUUUCAUCCCAGACAGCAGUGGGAUAUCAUGGUUUGUGCAAUAAUGAAUCCUUGGUACAUCCCAAGGAUGUUAGCUUAUUGAAGUUGACAUUUAAAAUGGUUAAGGUAAGGUUUAUGGUAAGUGUAUGGGUUAAGGUUUAUGGUAUGGACGUCCCAAGGAUUCCAUAUACCACUAACCAUGAGAAAAUGGAAGCAACAUUCAGGCAUGGAUGACAUCAGGACCGUCAGUUCAGCACUUCGCUGACCAGGCAAGUUUCUGGUCACGGUGUAUGGAGUUGAGGGUCGCUAUGCCUCUGCUCUCUUCUCAGCAGCCAGCCAGCAGACCGGAUCAAGUGGAUAAGGAGCUGAUCAGUGUUUGCCCUAGUCAAGGACCCCAAGCUAUCUGGCAUCAUGGUGAAUCCCCAUGUUAAACGCAGUAUCAAAGAGCACACCUUCACUGAUGUCAUGACCAUCAUCAUCAACGUC